UUGCAUUAGUGGUAGAAGCGGCAUCCUUUUUUUAUAGGACCACUUAACCUUCUUUAUAUACCAUACAUAUAUAGGUAAACCCACACCCUCCCCUAAGCUUUAAGUAAAAAAAGAUAUAGCGGAUGACGCGGCACUUU
rnacentral:sRNA from 1 species